rnacentral:lncRNA from 1 species
GAAUGUCAUUUCAGAAACUUUGCUGCCCCCGGCUUGCAGCCCCUCACGUCCCCCUCAACUCCUCACUCGCCCCAGACCAAGCCUCAGGCUGAACCUAAACUUGCAGCUGUGUUCCCACAGGUCCUUCCUGCCUAGGCUGGACCCAGUCUGCCCUUGCACCCAUCUCCAUUACCCCUUGGGCACCAAUUCUCUUGGAGGUGCACGGUGCUGAGAGCUGGGGUGAGGGCAGGCAGUGGCAGCCUGGGAACUGGAGCCAAGGGGAAGGUGGCCUGGCCGGCCCUGCCAGUGCUGGGCUCUGCAUCCUGGCCAUUCCUACGCAAGGAUUAAAGGCUCUCACACCUGCUUUGUGACUUUGGGCCCUGAUUUAACUCUUCCCUUUCAUCCUUUGCCAGACUAAGAACCAGAAUAAGCCCAGCAAUGCUUGGGUCAGGCAGGGAAGCCUUUGGAGAGCCCAGAUCUGGCUAUGUAGAAACCCGUGGGCAACUGCCCCCUCUUGCCACUCAGAAGAUGCCCCGUCAGAGGCCAGCUAUAGGAAGCUGGCUUGUUGUGGCCUCCUAAAGUGACCUGGGUCAAGUCCCUAGGAGCACUUCUGGUGGAGACCCCUGGGAUUCUAAGAAAAAGCUGCAUACCUCAGUUUCUCCAUAUAAGCUGGAAUCUGGGCGAGGAUUCCGGUCCUGGACAGUGACCCUUCCCCCAUUUUUCUCUACUGCAACAGCUACUACGAUCUGGAUUACGAGCUGUACAGGGAAGAAUUCCCCUACAGGUAGGCGGGUCCUGCCCCCUCGGUCCUCUCGGGGAAGCAGGUUGGGCUGGUUGGCCUGACAUCUCUCUGUCCUGUCCCCACAGGGUGUGUGACUACCAAAGGAUCCCUCCACUAAUCAACCGUGCACCUACCAAGAUCCGGGGGACCCACGUGGGCCCGGGGGUCAAGCACAGCUUUAGUCCCCACAAGACUCCCAGGACUAGUCAACUGCCUGCAGGGCAGAUAAAGCUCCAGACUGAGGAGCUGCACUCCAUCAGAGGAGAGCUGAGCCAGAUCAAAGCCCAGGUGGAUCACCUGCUGGAGACUGUGGACCGCAUGGACCAGCAGAUGGACCAGCUUCCAGGGACGGAGGACUGCGAACAGAACCGGAGCUCCAGGAGUAAGGGUCCCUCAUACAGAACCGUAGAACCUCAUCAGGAGCCUACAGGCCAGAGGACCCAUCCAGAGGCAGACAGCUCCCCGAUCACAGACCCAGAAGACCCCAAGGAGGCAGUGAGUGGCCUGGUGCCGCCCCCACCCCCAUCCUCAGCCUUAUGUUUGGGUCCUUAUGGCCUCCCUGUGAGCAAGGAGGAUCUUGGGUUUGUGCAA